GGUGUUGUAGCUCAGAGGUAGAACACUUGUCUAGCAUGCAAGAGGCACUGGGUUCAAUCCUCAGCACCA
rnacentral:tRNA from 1 species